rnacentral:rRNA from 1 species
ACAAUGGAGAGUUUGAUCCUGGCUCAGGAUGAACGCUAGCUACAGGCUUAACACAUGCAAGUCGAGGGGUAACAUGAAGAAAGCUUGCUUUCUUUGAUGACGACCGGCGCACGGGUGAGUAUCGCGUAUCCAACCUGCCCAUAAGUAGGGAAUAGCCUUGCGAAAGUAAGAUUAAUGCCCUAUGGUUUCCAUUAAAGACAUCUGAGAUGGAAUAAAGAUUUAUCGCUUAUGGAUGGGGAUGCGUCUGAUUAGGUAGUAGGCGGGGUAACGG